CAUUUUUCCCGCCAAAACCGCAAAACACACUUUUCCCGUUCAAACCGCAAAAACGUAUUUUUCCGCCAAACCCAUAAAAACGUAUUUUCCGCCAAAACCACAAAAAUGCACUUUUUCGCCAAAAAUACACUUUCCCUCAAAAACCGCAAAAUAUUUUUCGCUAAAACCGUAAAAAUACUAUUUUUUCGCCGAAACGUAAAAAAUUAUAUUUUAAUCAUUUUAUUAACAAGUCCACAUGAAUGUAGAUGAAAGUUAAAAAAUGAAAAGCAAACAAACAUAGUUGCAUUCAUAGUUGCAUUCAGAUGAUUCAUCUGGAUGCAUGAACGAAUAGAAAAAACGAACAACACCCAGAUGGAACAUCUAGAUAAGACAUCUAGAUGGACCAUCUGGAUAAGACAUCUAGAUGGACCAUCUGGAUGCAUCUUUC
rnacentral:lncRNA from 1 species